GUGUUGGCUUCAGCACCACGUGCACUAAAACUGGAACGAUACAGAGAUUAGCACGGCCCCUGUGCAAGGAUGACACGCAAGUGUGUGAAGCAGUCCAUAUCUUU
rnacentral:snRNA from 1 species